AGCCGAAGCCUUCGGGUUUAGCGGCGGACGGGUGAGUAACGCGUGGGAAUAUGCCCUUUGGUACGGAACAGUCCCGGGAAACUGGGUUUAAUACCGUAUGUGGUCCUUCGUAGUGGAUACGGGGGACGAAAGAUUUAUCGCCAAAGGAUUAGCCCGCGUUGGAUUAGGUAGUUGGUGGGGUAACGGCCUACCAAGCCGACGAUCCAUAGCUGGUUUGAGAGGAUGAUCAGCCACACUGGGACUGAGACACGGCCCAGACUCCUACGGGAGGCAGCAGUGGGGAAUCUUAGACAAUGGGGGCAACCCUGAUCUAGCCAUGCCGCGUGAGUGAUGAAGGCCUUAGGGUUGUAAAGCUCUUUCAGCUGGGAAGAUAAUGACGGUACCAGCAGAAGAAGCCCCGGCUAACUCCGUGCCAGCAGCCGCGGUAAUACGGAGGGGGCUAGCGUUGUUCGGAAUUACUGGGCGUAAAGCGCAUGUAGGCGGACCAGAAAGUUGGGGGUGAAAUCCCGGGGCUCAACCCCGGAACGGCCUUC
rnacentral:rRNA from 1 species